GACAGCAGCCGCCGCGGUAAUACGAAGGGGGCUAGCGUUGUUCGGAUUUACUGGGCGUAAAGGGCACGUAGGCGGACUGAUAAGUCAGGGGUGAAAUCCCAAGGCUCAACCUUGGAACUGCCUUUGAUACUGUUUGUCUUGAGUUCGAGAGAGGUAAGUGGAACUGCGAGUGUAGAGGUGAAAUUCGUAGAUAUUCGCAAGAACACCAGUGGCGAAGGCGGCUUACUGGCUCGAAACUGACGCUGAGGCGCGAAAGCGUGGGGAGCAAACAGGAUUAGAGACCCCGGUAGUCCCUGUCUCUUAUAC
rnacentral:rRNA from 1 species